rnacentral:rRNA from 1 species
AUGAACGCUGGCGGCGUGCCUAAUACAUGCCAGUCGAGCGAACAGACGAGGAGCUUGCUCCUUUGACGUUAGCGGCGGACGGGUGAGUAACACGUAGGUAACCUACCUAUAAGACUGGGAUAACUUCGGGAAACCGGAGCUAAUACCGGAUAAUAUUUCGAACCGCAUGGUUCGAUAGUGAAAGAUGGCUUUGCUAUCACUUAUAGAUGGACCUGCGCCGUAUUAGCUAGUUGGUAAGGUAACGGCUUACCAAGGCAACGAUACGUAGCCGACCUGAGAGGGUGAUCGGCCACACUGGAACUGAGGCACGGUCCAGACUCCUACGGGAGGCAGCAGUAGGGAAUCUUCCGCAAUGGGCGAAAGCCUGACGGAGCAACGCCGCGUGAGUGAUGAAGGUCUUCGGAUCGUAAAACUCUGUUAUUAGGGAAGAACAAACGUGUAAGUAACUGUGCACGUCUUGACGGUACCUAAUCAGAAAGCCACGGCUAACUACGUG